rnacentral:rRNA from 1 species
CUCGACAACAGAUAUCUCGGCUCUCACAUUGAUAAAGAACUUAGAGAAAUGUGAUACUUGGUGUGAAUGGCAGAAUCUCAUGAACCAUCGAGUAUUUGAAUGCAAGUUGCGCCCGAAGCCUUUUGGCCGAGGGCACGUCUUCCUGGGAAUCACG